GGGGACACCAGAUAUGGGCUUCACACAUUGUACCCAUUAGUGUUGGGAAUUGGUUAAAUCUCAUAAUUGAUGAUUGGUUAUUUACAAUCGAUCAAUCAUCGAAUAUAAUUGGCUAGCGUCAUUUAUGAAAUUUGUUAAUGCACAU